rnacentral:sRNA from 1 species
CGCCUAAACCAGAAAUGGCAUGGCUACAUAGGAAACCCACGCAAAUAGUAAUGGCCUCACAGUCAUCACCAUUUGCGUGGGUCCAUAUUCGAAAGAGUAUGGGGUGUUCUCGAAAGAGGAUAUC